rnacentral:rRNA from 1 species
UACAGAGGGGGCAAGCGUUAUUCGGAAUUAUUGGGCGUAAAGGGUGCGUAGGCGGGUCUUUAAGUCAGGGGUGAAAUCCUGGAGCUCAACUCCAGAACUGCCUUUGAUACUGAGGAUCUUGAGUUCGGGAGAGGUGAGUGGAACUGCGAGUGUAGAGGUGAAAUUCGUAGAUAUUCGCAAGAACACCAGUGGCGAAGGCGGCUCACUGGCCCGGAUACUGACGCUGAGGCACGAAAGCGUGGGGAGCAAACAGGG